rnacentral:misc_RNA from 1 species
GAUGAAGAACGCAGCGAACUGCGAUAAGUAAUGUGAAUUGCAGAAUUCAGUGAAUCAUCGAGUCUUUGAACGCACAUUGCGCCCCCUGGCAUUCCGGGGGGCAUGCCUGUCCGAGCGUCAUCGCUGCCCUUCAAGCCCGGCUUGUGUGUUGGGUCGUCGUCCCCCCCGGGGGACGGGCCCGAAAGGCAGCGGCGGCACCGCGUCCGGUCCUCGAGCGUAUGGGGCUUUGUCACCCGCUCGAUUAGGGCCGGCCGGGCGCCAGCCGGCGUCUCCAACCUUCUAUUUUACCAGGUUGACCUCGGAUCAGGUAGGGAUACCCGCUGAACUUAAGCAUAUCAAUAAGCGGAGGA